CCUAAUUGAUAGUCAAAAAUUCAAAUUUAAAAAACAAAAUCGUUAAUUACUUCUCACUACAAUGACAAAAAUUACAAAUCUGUAAUCACUAAGUGUUGAUUGGGAUGUGGAGCAUAAAGAGAGGUCUGUGAAGAUGCUAGAACUACUGACUAGGAUUUUAGCACCGAAAUCAACCUCAAAGUUCAAUUGUGCACCCUUUGGUUACGUUACAGAUGGUGCCAUGCUGGGCCACAGAGCUUGCCCCAGGUCCCGAAGCAAAAUGGCAGCGCCUGGACUGGAAGUUCAUCCCCAUCAAUUUUCCUUACGGAAUCUCAGGGCUCAGUAAAGAACGAUGAUUGACACAGUCACACAGCAACUGGUGUGACAGGGACAGGUUUCCGGAAUUCCAGUGUCUUAAUACCAAGCCCUUGUAGCAUUUCUCAGAGAGAACAAAACCGUUGGUCUUGUGUGCUCAGAAGAAAGCUUAGUGGUCAUAAAAUCCGAUACAUACAACUUGCAGAUCAACACACCAAGACUCUGGAGGAAGUGAGGGCGGUAACUUGUCCAAAUCUCCAAAGAAAAGGUAAGAAUGGUGAUCAUGAAAUCUGCUGACACUUAAGUGGUCACUGUGUGCCGGCUACUGCUCUGAGGUUCCCUUAAUUCUCACAACAACCCCUACAUUUUAACAUCAAAUUCUAACAUCAUCCUCACUUUACCUCUGGGGAAACUGAGACACAGGGUGUCUUUCUCUCUUGCCUGAGGCCCUAAUAGUAAGGGAGCAGAGGAGGGGCUCCAGACACUAUUUCACAAAAAGGGAAACCGAGGCCCAGAGAGGGUGAAAAGUCACCGGCUCAUCCUCUCCGGAACGAGUGGUACUGGGUAGGUGGCCUCAAAGACAUAGCUUGACUCAGAACCCACAGCCCCUUCAACUCAGCUUUCUCCCCUCCCAUGGGCGGCUGUGAAGUCACAGGGGAACUGGGAGGGGCCGUUACCAUGGAGACUGGCCCAUUCAGAAACAGGGUGGAAACUGGGAGUUGCCCUCAUGUCCCGAGCCACCACUUUGGAGCCAGCAUUUUCGGUCUCGGAAAUGAGACCCAGAGCGCCUCGCGCGAGCAGCCCCAACUUCUCCGCAGGCGACAUGCGGCACCGCCCGCGUGACGGAAACACCCGGACCCCAGGACUUCACAGACGCAGAAUGAGGGCCGAGCCGCCGCAAUGCGCGUGUGCAACUCUGUCCUGGCCUUGUGGCAUCUCCACCAAUCGGAAUCCUGCUUUUUGCCUGGCCCCGCCUUAUCCCCAGACUUCCGGUGUCUCGCUGGCUCCAACACAACCUUAAAAGUGGAGGACUCGGCAACUUGCAGAGACUUCUGGGUAUUGUAGUCUCAAAGGUGCAGAGCAACAGGAGGAGCACGUUUCAGUAAAAAGAAGCUUGGAAUACAAAUGCCUACACCAGUGAUGACUUGGCGGGUUGGAAACGCUUGUUAGAUGCUUUCACCAGCUGUUAUUUAUGGGGAAAGCAGGAAGGGAGGAGAAGGAAUGCGGUCGCAGAGGCUUCUGGGAGUUCAAGUUCAGCCGACGGAGCAAGGGCUGCGACCCCCGCCCCGGAUCCGGAAGUGGUCGCCGAGGCCUCCUAGCAGCCAAUGUGAAUGCGGGAAGUCCCUGAUCCAGGCGUCCCGCUCUCCCCGGCCCCGCUCUCCAGGUCCUACCACGAUGACUGACUCGUUUGCGGCUUUGGGACCGGUUGUAGGGGGCUUGACCGUCACUAGUAGACGUUUCUGAUUGUGUCGCGGUCACCAUGGGGAGGUUCACUGCACAAGCUCUCUUCUCUUGUCUGCCGCCAUGUGAGACGUGCCUUUGACCUUCUGCCAUGAUUGUGAGGCCUCCCCAGCCACGUGAAACUGUAAGUCCAUUAAACCUUUCUUUUGUAAAUUGCCCAGUCUUGGGUAUGUUUUAUCAGCAAUAUGAACACAGACUAAUACAGCUUACAUCUGUCUGUCAUCAACUUACUGGGUGGUUUCCGUGGCUUUUAGCAGUUUCUUUAUUACAUUUUAAAGGAUCGUUUGCACAUGAAUUGCUAUAAGAAAAGACAAGAGCUUCCUAUGAGCUGUUAUGCAAACACAGCCAUAUCAACUCAGUCAGAAUGUUACAAAUAAAAGAUCAUAAUCAUAGCAGCAGUAGUAACAGUAACUGGUGCUAGCAGGCAUGGUAUGCUGACAAUGCCUGAGCUAUGGUUUUAGGAUUUCUGUGGACACUGUCUUUAAUUCCCACAGUGACCGUAUGAAAUAGGUACAGUGUGCAUCCCCAUUUAACAGAGGAGGACAUGGAGACACAAGUAAAAUAAGUGCAGCUGAAGAGUGGAAUAUUUUUUAUUUUACAUUUUUAAUUUUGAGAUAAUUUUGUAUUUACAGAGAAGUUGCAAUGAUAUAGUACAGAGCAUUCUUAUGUAUCCCUUUCCCCGCUUCCUCUACUGUUAACAUCUUAUGUAAUCCUAGUAGAUGUGUCAAAACUGUAAUAUUGCCACAGUACUGUUAACUCCAGACUUUGUUCACAUUUCCCCAGUAUUUCCUUUAAAGUCCUCUUCCUGUUUUGGGGUCACAUGUGGGACACCACAUGACGUUUAGUUGCCAUGUCUUCCUGCCCUCCUCUGAUCCGCAGCAGUGUCUCUGACUCUCCUUGUUUUUGAUGACCUUGACAGUUUUGAGGAGUACCGACCGGGUGUCCUGUAAAAUGUGUUUCCAUUUGGAAUUGUCUGAUGCUUGCUCAUGACUAGACUUGGGUUAUGGGGAAGGAUGACUUUAAAAUUUUUUUUUAAUUUUAAUUAAAAAUUUUAAAUUGAUACUCGGUUCAAUUAUUAGACAAUCUUUAACCCAUGUUUGGAAAAAUCUGGAUAUGUGAAUCUCCUUUUUAACUAUAAAUGUUAGAAAAUGUAAUUGCAGAUCAAUUUUAGCAUUCAAAUUGAGAUGUGCAAUAGGUGAAAAAUACACAAUGGAUUUCAAAGACUUAAUACAAAAAGAAGGAUAUAACGGAUCUCAUUAACAAUUGUUUAUAUUGAUUACUUGUUGAAAUGUAUCUUGGGUAUAUUGAAUUAAAUCGUACGUAUUGUUCAAAUUUAUUUUACUGGUUUCUGGGCUAGCAGGAAGUGUGAAAUAAAUGUAGCUCACAGAUUUUUAUUGGCUAACACUGCCCUAACUAGUAGCAAUACAUUAAUUGAGAAAUAUGUGCCAGGCACUGUGUUUUAGAAAUACUAUCUCAUUUAGAACACAUGGACACAGAGGGGGAACAACGCACACUGGGGCCUGUCGGGGUGUGGGGUUGCGGGGAGGGAGAGCAUUGGGAAAAAUAGCUAAUGCAUGCUGGGCUGAAUACCUACGUGAUGGAUAAAUGGGGCAGCAAACCACCAUGGCACAUAUUUACCUAUGUAACAAAACUGCACAGCCUGCACAUGAACCCCGGAACUUAAAAAAAAAAA